GUCGCUUACCAGGUGAAUUACUCAGCAUUUCUCGAGCUCACCCUUAUUCCUAUCACAGUUAAUCGUUGUUACACGAUCAUUUAUGUUUUAUAAAGAGUGCUUUCUUGUUUGUGACCAUCAAAUUAAUUAAUAUAAUAACUGAUUUUUUUUGUUUUAUCCAUGUCACUAAGGUAACUCAGGAAUCAACUAGAAAAAUUCUACUUUCUUACUAAAAUCACAAUAAAAAGUUAUAUCAACCAUCCUAUAGUUUUCCUCUUGUUUUAGUUGCCUGGUGUGCAAAGCUUUAUGGUUGGAACAAAUUUGUACGUUUAUAAAGUAGACAGACAGGAUUUCAAUCUUGCUAUUAUGAAAGAACCCCAUUACUUACAGGUUCGUUGUCGUACCUGAAACUUUUACUCGUAGAUUUACAGAUCAAUUGUUUUCAAUAUUAUUGCUGACCUUUUUUUGGA